rnacentral:rRNA from 1 species
UACACUCCUACGGGAGGCAGCAGUGGGGAAUUUUGGACAAUGGGCGAAAGCCUGAUCCAGCAAUGCCGCGUGUGUGAAGAAGGCCUUCGGGUUGUAAAGCACUUUUGUCCGGAAAGAAAUCCUUGGCUCUAAUACAGUCGGGGGAUGACGGUACCGGAAGAAUAAGCACCGGCUAACUACGUGCCAGCAGCCGCGGUAAUACGUAGGGUGCGAGCGUUAAUCGGAAUUACUGGGCGUAAAGCGUGCGCAGGCGGUUUGCUAAGACCGAUGUGAAAUCCCCGGGCUCAACCUGGGAACUGCAUUGGUGACUGGCAGGCUAGAGUAUGGCAGAGGGGGGUAGAAUUCCACGUGUAGCAGUGAAAUGCGUAGAGAUGUGGAGGAAUACCGAUGGCGAAGGCAGCCCCCUGGGCCAAUACUGACGCUCAUGCACGAAAGCGUGGGGAGCAAACAGGAUUAGAAACCCUUGUAGUCCCA